GAUGAACGCUGGCGGCGUGCCUAAUACAUGCAAGUCGAGCGAACGGACGAGAAGCUUGCUUCUCUGAUGUUAGCGGCGGACGGGUGAGUAACACGUGGAUAACCUACCUAUAAGACUGGGAUAACUUCGGGAAACCGGAGCUAAUACCGGAUAAUAUUUUGAACCGCAUGGUUCAAAAGUGAAAGACGGUCUUGCUGUCACUUAUAGAUGGAUCCGCGCUGCAUUAGCUAGUUGGUAAGGUAACGGCUUACCAAGGCAACGAUGCAUAGCCGACCUGAGAGGGUGAUCGGCCACACUGGAACUGAGACACGGUCCAGACUCCUACGGGAGGCAACAGUAGGGAAUCUUCCGCUAUGGGCGAAAGCCUGACGGAGCAACGCCGCGUGAGUGAUGAAGGUCUUCGGAUCGUAAAACUCUGUUAUUAGGGAAGAACAUAUGUGUAAGUAACUGUGCACAUCUUGACGGUACCUAAUCAGAAAGCCACGGCUAACUACGUG
rnacentral:rRNA from 1 species